GUAUAAGAGACAGCAGCAGCCGCGGUAAAACGGAGGAUCCAAGCGUUAUCCGGAAUCAUUGGGUUUAAAGGGUCCGUAGGCGGUUUAGUAAGUCAGUGGUGAAAGCCCAUCGCUCAACGGUGGAACGGCCAUUGAUACUGCUGAACUUGAAUUAUUAGGAAGUAACUAGAAUAUGUAGUGUAGCGGUGAAAUGCUUAGAGAUUACAUGGAAUACCAAUUGCGAAGGCAGGUUACUACUAAUUGAUUGACGCUGAUGGACGAAAGCGUGGGGAGCGAACAGGAUUAGAUACCCCCGUAGUCCCUGUCUCUUAUAC
rnacentral:rRNA from 1 species